rnacentral:rRNA from 1 species
GACGAACGCUGGCGGCGUGCUUAACACAUGCAAGUCGAACGGAAAGGCCCCUUUGGGGGUACUCGAGUGGCGAACGGGUGAGUAACACGUGAGUAACCUGCCCUUGACUUCGGGAUAACUUCAGGAAACUGGGGCUAAUACCGGAUAGGAAUCCUUGCUGCAUGGUGGGGGUUGGAAAGCUUCGGCGGUUUUGGAUGGACUCGCGGCUUAUCAGCUUGUUGGUGGGGUAGUGGCUUACCAAGGCUUUGACGGGUAGCCGGCCUGAGAGGGCGACCGGCCACAUUGGGACUGAGAUACGGCCCAGACUCCUACGGGAGGCAGCAGUGGGGAAUAUUGCACAAUGGGCGGAAGCCUGAUGCAGCAACGCCGCGGGCGGGAUGACGGCCUUCGGGUUGUAAACCGCUUUCAGCGGGGGCGAAGCUUGUGGUGACGGUACCUGCAGAAGAAGCACCGGCUAACUACGUG